GCGUAGAGCUACGGCUGGAGCGAGUGAAGUCCGUGUUUUCCAAGUGCAGCAAUGCAGCUGGUUCAGCUGGCCUGGGGAAGAUAACUCUGCGUUUAGUAAUAGUGCCGCAAUAGCGUGUUUUCUUGAUGUAACUCUUGGCUGCACGUUUCUUAGAGCCUGGAUUUGCCAAGAGUGCCUGCUGCACAUAGCCCACCCCUAUCAUGUGCUGAAGUGACCAGAUGAACUAGCACAGAAGUUGGGCCUUUCUUCCUCUAUCAUAUACAGAGCACACUCACUUUAGUUCCAACUACUUUCAACUUCGGCUAUGCAAUCCUUGAGACAGAAAGUACAACAAGGAAGAUCCUAAGCACAAAAAGCUCCUUGGCUUUCCUGCCUCAGAGGGAGAGGAACAUUACAAGAAAGAAUACAUCAGCAGUGGACGACUAGUGAAUGAGGCUCCGCUUGGAUCCCAUCUGGAAACGGCUAUCAGCAUUAUAUGGAGCUUGAAACGUGUUGUGUGCAAGUAGGAUUCUAAAAGCCUCACUUGGAACCCAAAUCUGUUUUGUUGUGUUUUGGGUUUUUUGGUUUUUUUGUUUUGUUUUGUUUUUAUGCUAAAUGUUUCUAAGUUGGUUUUAACUGGAACUGCAGGAACCCAAGGCUUUCAAUUGCAUGCAAACCUGCCCUAACCUGACACCUUUUACGAGCUUAAAAAAAAAUAUCAGAGGAAUGUAGGCUUCUACCAGAGCCUGCCACCAAAGCGUGGAAACAUCCUGCCAACAUGUUUACUCACUGCUGUAAUGAACACAUGCAAGAUUAGAAAGUUUGUUUAGGUAUUACUGGAAACCUUUUUCCAUCACAAUCCUUUCAGCUGUUUCACAAGGACUGAGCAGGAAAUUUGGCCUUUGGGCUCACACGUAAGGUACGUGUAGUGGUGAGGGAAGACUUAGCAGUGCCAGCUGUAACCAGGGAGCUGCCUAGUGAGUGCACUGUGGGUCACUACCAGACUAAGGUACAGGAACUUGCAAUGACAUAAACAACAGAGGGAAUUAAGAGUCACAGCCUAAAUUGGCUCUUUUGUCAGUGUCAUGUAAUGUGCUUGGGAUAGUUUGCCUGCGUAUGGCACAACUGCAAUAUAAUUGCAAACAUCAAGAAAUGAGUAUGUAGACUUAGGUGGGUUGGGAUGGCUGUAACAUAAAUCUGAGGCAGGGGAGGAGCUGCAGCCCAGUGAUGCAAAGAGUCGAUUUCUCUGCUCUAUAAAACACAUCCUGUGAUUUCCUACUCGUGUACUGCUUCUUAGUGUAGUCAAGCACAAACUAUUUAAGGCAGGGAUUCACUGUGCCUGCAAUUGUGUGUUAUGUAAUAAUAAUGAUGUGUCUAAUUGCUAUUGAAAAAAAAAGUAAUAAUAAUAAUGGCUGUGAUUUCUGCCUUCCAAAGUAGUGCGUAUUGUCUUUGAAGUAAUCAGGGACUUGUUGCUAGGCAGUUAAUAUUUAAGGUACCUUAAAUAUUUUAAUGCGUCUAUGCCUGCUGUUUCUAGGCACCAGUAUUUGUUUAUGUUAUCAUUAUACAACCCUUUCUACCUUAUAUCCUUUGUUCAGUCUAUCCAUACAGUGAAAUUUCAGUCACACUUUUUUUUCACAGGUAGCAGAUUUACUUUACUACAGUUGAGAAUGAUAAAAUCCCUCUGAUGCAGAUUUCUUCUUUGUCAGGAUGUUUUGCACUAAUGGUUUGCACUAAUACCAUUUACUCUUUCUUUGCACAGUCCUUCUCCCAGGUGUGUUCUGUCUUUGUGAUGGCUUGGUGUGUAGGCAUGUAGUGAUUUUAAUAAAGGUUUGAAUUUAA